rnacentral:rRNA from 1 species
GAUGAACGCUGGCGGCGUGCCUAAUACAUGCAAGUCGAGCGAACGGACGAGAAGCUUGCUUCUCUGAUGUUAGCGGCGGACGGGUGAGUAACACGUGGAUAACCUACCUAUAAGACUGGGAUAACUUCGGGAAACCGGAGCUAAUACCGGAUAAUAUUUUGAACCGCAUGGUUCAAAAGUGAAAGACGGUCUUGCUGUCACUUAUAGAUGGAUCCGCGCUGCAUUAGCUAGUUGGUAAGGUAACGGCUUACCAAGGCAACGAUGCAUAGCCGACCUGAGAGGGGGAUGGGCCACACGGGAACUGAGACCGGGUCCAGGCUCCUAGGGGGGGCAGCGGUGGGGAAUUUUCCGACAGGGGGGAAAGCCUGAAGGAGCAACGGCGGGGGGGUGAAGAAGGGUUGCGGUUCGUAAAACUUUUUUAUUAGGGAAAAAAAUAUGGGUAAGUAACGGGGCACAUUUUGAGGGAACCUAUAAAAAAAGCCAGGGCAAACUACGG